rnacentral:rRNA from 1 species
AAGUCGUAACGGACGUUAACCUAUAGUUUUACUAUUGGUAGCGGUUAGUGGUCGGACUGUGAGUAACACGUAAGCAACCUGCCUAUCAGAGGGACAACAGUUAGAAAUGACUGCUAAUACCGCAUAUGCCUUAGUAACACAUGUUACAAAGGGAAAGAAGCAAUUCGCUGAUAGAUGGGCUUGCGUCUGAUUAGAUAGUUGUGGGGUAACGGCCUACCAAGUCGACGAUCAGUAGCCGGGCUGAGAGGUUGAACGGCCACAUUGGGACUGAGAUACGGCCCAGACUCCUACGGGAGGCAGCAGUCGGGAAUAUUGCGCAAUGGAGGAAACUCUGACGCAGUGACGCCGCGUGCGGGAAGAAGGUUUUCGGAUUGUAAACUGCUUUAGACAGGGAAGAAACAAGACAGUACCUGUAGAAUAAGCUCCGGCUAACUACGUG